rnacentral:rRNA from 1 species
CGGUACUUGAGGAGGAAGCCCCGGCUAACUACGUGCCAGCAGCCGCGGUAAUACGUAGGGGGCUAGCGUUAUCCGGAUUUACUGGGCGUACAGGGUGCGUAGGCGGUCUUUCAAGUCAGGAGGGAAAGGCUACGGCUCAACCGUAGUAAGCUCUUGAAACUGGGAGACUUGAGUGCAGGAGAGGAGAGUGGAAUUCCUAGUGUAGCGGUGAAAUGCGU